CUCUCUUGCUGCAACCCUAAACUCCAACUUAUUUCCACUACGACUCUUACAGUGCCUUUUCAUGACAGGAGGUAGUCCUGCACGUGGCGGCGGCGGUGACCAGACCAACAAGCAGACGUCGGGCAGCGGCUGCAGUCGUGGCUGCAGCGGUAGUGCUGGCUGCGAGGAGGACGGAAGAGAGGAGGGAAGAGAAUGGGCGCGGAAAUAGGCAAGACAACAAUCGUGACUUCAUGGAACCUGAUGUAUGUGAUGUUGUAGGUCCUAAUGACAACCAUGACGAAAUUAUUAAUCCUGAUGAUGUUUUUGACAGUGGCUUAAUUUCAACUGAUGUCAACAGAGACGUAUAAUAUCCUGGGUGAAUCAUAUACGUUGGCAUUACAUGACUAACAUGCUCCCAAUGCUAUAUUUGAGAUUUGGUAUCGUGGGACAUCGUCAUGUAAAUGUCCAAGAUGAUAUUUUUUAUUAUGUGAUAAAAUAUCCGAGAUGACGUGAAGAAAUAUGAUAAUCUCCGAAAUGAGUUUGAAAUGUCUGUGAUGGAGCCACACAUUCUGAUAACCAGUUUUAUCGCUAUUAUAUACUGACUUUACAUUACCAUUCUUGCGCAUCAAUGUUGUCUUCUAUAUCAGCUAAUAAUAAACAUAAAUACAUUUAUACUUUGUCAAACAUGAAAGCAGUUCAUGUGAUUUAUUUUGACUGUGUACCCGAUUUCUACUGAUUGCAUGAUGCCGAUUAUCGGAAGCUAAUUUCUGUAAGGUUAGAAUAGACAGCAUACGUACAAGGGGUUUGUUGAAAGAAAACAGUCUGAGGGCUCCAAAGAUUAAGAACAUCUCUAUAGACAAGAAUUAACAAAUAGUUGAGGGCAGAUAGCGUUAUUUUACUUAAGGUAUAUAUAUAUAUUUUUUUUUUUUUUUUUU